UUGGAAACACAAUGAGUUUUGACCAAAACCCUAGAUUAUUUUCUUCCCCUAGUGCUAAUUCUUCUGGGUUUUCUUGAAAUUUAGGGCUAGGGUUUGGAGAAAGUUUAUAACUUGGUUUUUCUUUUUUCAAGAUUGUUGUUGGUAUUGAAUAUUGAUACUGAACAUAACCAACAAACAAAAAAUGUGAAAGAAAGGUGUUUGAGUUGAUGGUGGUGUUGAACUUUUUUUCUUUUCUUUUCUUUUUCUUUGGGAAUCUUCUGGUUUCUUGGAGGAAAUGGUUGUUGGGUUAACUUUUUUGGCUAUCUUUGGUUUUACAGAAGAGAAGAAAGAUGACUUUGAGGACUUUUAAUGGGGGAGGGAUAAGAAUGGGGUUUGAAGAAAUUUCAAAAACUAAUGGAGAUUCAGAAUUGACUAAUGGAGAUCAAGAAAAAUGGUUAAUUGAUGAAAAGGGUUAAUUCUUCCCCCUCCAAAACUAGUGUUUCCCAUCAUUAACUUGAAAAAGCCAUGUUCUUUGAACAAUGACUGAGUGGAUAAAUGAUAAACAAAAACUAAUUAUG
rnacentral:lncRNA from 1 species